rnacentral:rRNA from 1 species
UCUUGGGGUCCCGGGGAGGGGCUUUUCGGUUUUUUAACUCCCAAAACCCAAUUGAAACUGUGCAAUCUGUUUUCUUGGCGGGACUUGUUCCCCGGGUGCGUCGCAGCCCCGGACCAAGGCGCCCGCCGGAGGACCAACCAAAAUUCUUAUCCUAUAACCCCCUGCCGGUUUUUCUUAUAAUCUGAGCCUUCUCGGCGCCUCUCGUAGGCGUUUCGAAAAUGAAUCAAAACUUUCAACAACGGAUCUCUUGGUUCUGGCAUCGAUGAAGAACCGCAGCGAAAUGCGAUAAGUAAUGUGAAUUGCAGAAUUCAGUGAAUCAUCGAAUCUUUGAACGCACAUUGGCGCCCGCCAGUAUUCUGGCGGGCAUGCCUGGUCCGAGCGUCAUUUCAACCCUCGAACCCCUCCGGGGGGUCGGCGUUGGGGAUCGGCCCUGCCUUGGCGGUGGCCGUCUCCGAAAUACUUAGUGGCGGUCUCGCCGCAGCCUCUCCUGCGCAGUAGUUUGCACACUCGCAUCGGGAGCGCGGCGCGUCCACAGCCGUUAAACCCCCAAGGAAACUUCUGAAAUGUGACCUCGGAUCAGGUAGGUGGAAAAUCUAAAGACCCUCCAAGGAAAACG